rnacentral:lncRNA from 10 species
AUGUCUUCAUCGCUGGGCGCAGUGGCUCACCCGCACUUUAUUCUUUUACGUUGACAGGAGAUGACUUAUUGUCAGUUAGAAUUAACUCCUCAGAGAUAAGAGAGGUCUGAGUAAAUAAUGCAUUGGUAGUUGCCUUAAAAAAGAAUCAGAAAUACAAAGAGUUUUAUUUUACUCACCUCUAUCCUGCUCUGCUUGGUUGCCUGAGCUAAGCAUUUAAUGAACUUAGAAUGAGAAUUGUGCAGUCGUACUUCAGAAGUAUUCUUUUCUGAAUGAGGCUGUCCACAUUUCUGAGUAGCUACAUGCAGCUAGUUACAUGGGAGCAUUUUCUACUACAAAAGUCAUAAUACAACAAGCUAGUGACCUCCAGCUGGGCUUUAGCUGAAAAGACGAGCUGUGUGGCUGGGUAACGUUUCUCAAUCUCAAUUGAUGUUAAGAAUCACCAUCUAAGAGCAUUUUUAUAAAGCAAAGAAUCCAAGGCCCAACAUCUAGAGAUGCUGAUGUGGUAGAUCUAAGGUGGGGCAAGUGCCCAUGUGAGUCUCAUAUUUGAGAAAGGUGGAAAGCACUGGUCAGUGAAGAUGAGACUGGGUAAUCCUAUAAGAAGCUGACAAUAUUAAUAAUAAUACACACAAAAGUUACAAAUGUUAGGUGAAAAUAUUCAUACAGUAAAAUUACUAUCAUUGAGAAUUCCUUCAUCCCAAAAUACCAUAAUGUAAAUGAAAACACCUGCCAAAACAAAAGAAGACAGGCACAAUGUACUAAUAGGAGAAUGUAGAGCAGGAGUCUCUUACUGGAGGGGUAGAAAUUAGCAUGACUUCAGAAAAUGAUGGGCAUUACCAAGGCUGAACAUGGACAUAAUUUGACACUGCAGUUUUACUUAGGUAUGAGACCAAAUGAAAUGCUUGCACAGCUAUACCAGAAGACAUGUAUACCCACAUUCUUAGCAAGAAAACUUGGAAGAAAAAUUGUUGAAAGCAAAAAACUGAAAACAACCCAAACGUCCAUCAAUAAUAAAACAAAUGAAAAAGUUACAGAAUAAUUUCAUAACAGUAAGUUAUAUACCAGUGCAAAUAAAUGGACCACAGUUACUGCAGCUAUGUUAUCUGCAUGCAUGAACCUCAAAAAUACUCUUUUUAGAGAGAAGGCAAGUCACAAACGAAUACAAACAGCGUGAUUCCAAUUACAUGAUGUUAAAAACAAGUGAACAAAAACGUGUUGUUCACGUACCCAUACACGUGGUACACAACCUGAAGAAAAACGAGAUGACUUUGCUUGCAAAGAAGAGAAACUGGGGAACUGCCACAGGAAGGGCAUUAGUAUGUUUUGCUACAGGUACUUAACAAACAGAAAAUGUUUAAGAAAUUCCUUCAGGUGAUUCAUGCAUGGUGAAGUUUAAUACUGUUUCACAGUAUAUAGCUCUCAUAUAUGCUAGGAGUAGGGUGAAUAAGAAAAAUAUACUUAUUCUUUCCUACUUAAGAAAUGCAACUGUUGCUUGUGAAGGUUACUCUGCUCUAUCACCAGAAUUCUUGGUCAGCCCUCAUUUCAUUUGCAUGUAUACAUACAAAAUAUGUAUGUAAUACCUUAUCCGCUCAUGUGUCAAGAACCAAGUAAGUCAUCAAAAUAAUCAGCCUAAAUGUAUGCUAUAAUAGGAAUUUACAAUUAUGUCAAAAAAUAUUAAUGUUCAGAAUCAUCUUAACCAACAACAUAACACACAUUUGCCAGCACCAAGUCUACAUUUCAGAAUUUCUACCGUGUUUAAAAUAUACACGUAUAUAGGUGCAUGUAUGUAAAUGUCUAUCUAUAUAUACAUAUAUGUAAACAUACACAAGUAUACACGCACUUGCAUAUAUAUGCACAUACAAUUUUGGCCUUUAAGCAGCUAAUAGCUAUAAAUGUGACUAUAUGGUCUCCUUAGGCUUAGAGAUGACCAAAUUUUCACCGUACUUUUUUUUUUUUUGAGAUGGAGUCUUGCUCUGUGGUCCGGGCUAGAGUGCAGUGGCACGAUCUUGGCUCACUGCAACCUCUGCCUCCCAGGUUCAAGCGAUUCGCCUGCCUCAGCCUCCUGACUAGCUGGGAUUAUAGGCGCCCGCCACUGUAUCUGGCUAAUUUUUGUAUUUUUAGUAGAGAUGCGGUUUCACCAUCUUGGCCAGGCUGGUCUCGAACUCCUGACGCCAUGAUCCACCCACCUCUGCCUCCCAAAGGGUGGGGAUUAGAGGUGUGAGCCACCGCACCCGGCCUUUCACUGUAUUUUUAUCUUUGAAGACAUCAAUUCAUUCAAGAUUGAAACACUGUCAACAUUUCAUUAAGUAGGCAAAAAAAUUUGUUACUGUUACUACAAAAACAGACCAGAAUCUCUGAACCGUGGAUUCCAAAACUGAGGAAUACUGCCCAGCCACACUAAUUAGACACUUCCCUACCCUACUGAGGAUGAAAGAACAUGUAAACAUGUGUUUUGCUAACAAAUUUUUUAAAAAUAUUAGAAGUAGGGAAAUAAAGCAAUAACUAAACACUGAAUGAACAAAUUGAAGCAAUGCAAUUGCUUUUUUAAAAAAGGGGGAAUAAACUCAAAUUUAAAUUACUGCUUGUAUUUUAUUUUUAGAGACAAGAUCUCACUCUGUCACCCAGGCUGAGUGCAGUGGUGCAAUCAUGGCUCACUGCAGCCUCAAACUCCUGGGCACAAGAGAUCCUCCCACCUCAGCCUCCUAAACAGCUGGAUCUACAGGUGCAUGCCACCACACCAGGCUAUUAAAAAUUUUUUGUAGCGUUGAGGUCUUGCUAUGUUGCCCAAGCUGGCCUUGAACUCCUGGGUCUCAAGCAAUUCUCCUGUGUAGGCCUCCCAAAGUGCUACGGUUACAGAUGUGAGCCAUUGCACCUGGCUUCACUUUUUUUUUAAAGGGGAAAGAGGAUAAGUCCCCUUUUCAUUUCAGACUCUUAUCAGUGAAUUCUUAAUAAAAUUCAGAACUCCAGUGUUCAAGAUAGAGUGACUGAUUUAGUACAUCUAUAAGAGGACCUCUCACUUUUAAGUUUUAACCAUAACUCUAGGAAACUAUUUCAAGUAGCUUCUAAACUAUAAUAAUUUUGACUAUUUAAAAUUCCUGAGGUCGGGAGUUUGAGACUAGCCUGACAAACAUGGAAAAACCCCGUCUCUACUAAAAAUACCAAAUUAGCAGGACGUGGUGGCACAUGCUUGUAAUCUCAGCUACUUGGGAGGCUGAGGCAGGAGAAUUGCUUGAACCCGGGAGGCAGAGGUUGCAGUGAGCUGAGAUCGUGGCAUUGCACUCGAGCCUGGGCAACAAGAAUGAAACUCCAUCUCAAAAGAAAAAAAAAAAAAAAUUAAGUGCUUACAGAAAAACUCCUACCCUGCCCUCAAAUUCUAAUAGGGAAUCACCACCUUUUACUUGCUGUUUUGUCUUGGACCAUAGAUAAACAUUUAUCUGAUAGCAGAUGCUAUAACUUGAAUUUUUAUGUCCCUCAAAAAUUCAUGUUGAAAUUCAAUCUCCAGACAAGCACAGUGGCUUAGCCGGGUAAUCACAGUGCUUUGGGAGCCGAGGUGGGAGGACUGCUUGAGGCCAGGAGUUCAAGACCAGCCUGGGCAACACAGCGAUACCCUAUCUCUACAAAAAAUUAGACAGACAUGGUGGCAUGUGCCUGUAGUCCCAGCUACUCAGGAGGCUGAAGCAGGAGGAUGGCUUGAGCUCAGGAGUUUGAGGUCGCAGUGAGCUAUAACCUGGGCGACAGAGCAAGACACACAUACAUACAUAUAUAUAAAGAAAUUUAAUCUCCAAUGUAAUAGUAUUAAGAGGUAGGGCCUUUAAGAGGUGAGGAGGUCACAAGGGCUCUUCUCUCAUGAAUGGGAUGAAGGCCCUUUGCCUGUCUAUCCCUUUUGCCAUGUGAGGACACAACAUUUAAGCCACCAGCUUGUAAGCAGAGGCCAGGCCCUCACCGGACACCAAACCUGCUGGUACCUUGAUCUUGGACUUCCCAGUCUCCAGAACUGUGAGAAUAAAUUUCUAUUAUUUAUAAAUUACCCAGUCUCAGGUAUUUUGUAAUACUAGCACAAAGGGGCUAAAACAGAAGAGCUCUCAGAAAGUGUAAUAUUUCACCAAACCCUUUCAUUUCUCUUAUAAACCAAAUUAUUCAGAGAAAGAAACUACUAUUUUUUAUCGUUGAAAUGUGAUAAGUAUCUAUGACAGAAAAAAGAGAUAUUCAUUUACUUUGAAAUUACUUUAAUUUAGAAAUAGAAAACAUCUUGAAAGGAAAAAAAAAAACCCACAAAACAUACAGGCAAAUUUGUAUUCUGUGAGUUUCUCACACCCUCACACUUGUUCACCAAUCUCUAAGAUGAAAAACUCUCUUCCAAAAUGUAUUCAGCCACCACUGUAAAAGAAAGAAAAAUUAUUACUUCUGAGCAUAGAUAAGAUUUUAAUAAUUAUUAUUAUUUGAAAUGCAAUAUGCUAUAACUUUAACGGCUCAAGACCAAUUAUGUGAAUCCCACCUAACUUCAUCUAAAGAUGGCAUAAAAGAAUGGCACAAUGAACUUUAAAAUCCUGGACCUGAAAAGAUGAUGUGGCUACUGGAAGAGGUCUAUGUGUAAACUCACAAUGCUCAUUCAGGAAAUGCCAUUUUGGAAUAGUCUAGCAUAACGCCUUUCUGAACACAACAAAAAAUAUCAACUACAUGACAGGAUGGUUAGUUGAGAAGCUUUUCAAGUUGAUAAAGUUGACACACCAGUAGAACACACCAGCAGAAAACAGACUGCAGAUGAGCACAAGGUACUCAAGCACUGCAUCUUACCAUAAUCAUUCCAAAAUCUGGGUUAGUCAUGAUGAAAACAAAAAUCACCUUUUCUACAGAAGAACUUCUGAGUUUUAAAAGCAUAAACAUUAAAACUGCAUAGUCAGAUAUACAUUUUAGUAAUGUUAAAGCAAAAUAAUUCCAUUACCAGAAGAAAAUUAUAUAAAAUAGGCCAGGCAUGGUGGCUCUCACCUGUAAUCUCAGCACUCUGGGAGGCUGAGGGAGGCAGAUCACCUGAGGUCAGGAGUUCGAGACCACCCUGGCCAACAUGGUGAAACCCCGUCUCUACUAAAAAUACAAAAAAAAUUAGCCAGGCAUGGUGGGGUGCAACUGUAGUCCCAGCUACUCAGGAGGCUGAGGCAGGAGAAUCACUUGAACCUGGGAGGCGGAGGCUGCAAUAAGCUAAGAUUGCACCACUGCACUCCAGCCUGGGAAACAGAGCAAGACUCCAUCUCAAAAAAAAGAGAAAAUUAUUAUAUAAAAUACCCCUGAGCAUAUACUUUAAUGUUUAGCAUUUUAAAUGCUUAUGCUAUUAAAUAGUAUUGCUAUAACUAAAAGGCCAGCAAGUGCCUAUUUUAAAUUCUAAUACUGUGAAUAUUAAUUUUGAUUGCUAUACUUAGAAAAAAAAGAAGAAAAAAAUCUUAAGAAAAAACUGAUAAUUCAACCCAAUGAGUUAUUUCCCUUGCUACCAUCUCAAAAUGAUUUAAACAAUGAUUAUCCUCUUUCAAGCAGGGAAAGCAAGAUUCCUUUCAGUUUUACAGCUGUCCUGGCAUAACAUGAGAAAAGAGUAAGUUUUCUGUAGUGUCUCUCACAAAAUGUUUUAAUUGGCCUUCAUGUUAAGGUAAAAAAUAUCUAAAGAUAGAUUUUUUAACUUCUUAAACAUUGAAACCAUUUUUUUUAACUAGAAGAAAAGUUUUCUAAGUAACUAGCUUCUGAAAGAUUUCCCGUGUUGCUCUAUCACUAGCCAUGCAAUCUGAGUAGAUUACUUAGCCUCCCCAUGCCUGUUUCCUCAUGAAGAUUAAAUGAGUUGACACACAGUCAUGGAAAGUUCUCAAUGAAUGUUAACUAUUAUUAUUGCCACCAUCACCAUUAAAAAGACAAGAACCUGAAGUUGUUCACUUAAUUCAACAAACACUUAUUCAGUGCUUUUAACGGAUACAAGGGGGCUCUGGACCAGACUCUAUAGGAGAGACAUACAAUAUAAAUAACAAGGCAGGCCUGCCUCACAACUCAUAAUCUAAUAUGAAAAGACGGACCUGAGUAUGACCCAAGGCAGACAAUGAUGUCUGGCAAAAGGGACAAAAAUAUAGGUUAAGUGAAGGCCGGGGAAAAAAUUUGAAAGGUGCUUGUAUACCAAAAAAUUGGAAAAGGUGGGCUUACGUGUUCUUCUGAAAGGUACAACUAAGAACAAUGAAGGGUGAUUAUCACAGGAAACUAAUUUUGUUAUCAUUUUAAAGAAACACUUCCUAUCAAUAAAUCUGUCUCAUGACAGAAUGGGAAGCAGAAAGAGCAGAGGCACCGAGUAUGAAAAAGAAGGGACUUGACAGAGACUCUGCCACUUCUUUUUACUGAUUUCCUCAUUCUACUUCAGUAUUCUCCCCGUGAUUCCACAGUUCUACAGUUGGCAUUUCUCACUGGUAAAAUACAAGGGAUUUCUGAACUGACAAAUGAGAUAUCAGUGACUUGGGCCCAUCUAGUUCUAACUAUUUAUGAUCCUGAAUAUCACUUUGUGGCACUUCUGCCUUAAUAACUAUGGUAACCUACUUCAGAAAUCCCUCUGACAAUAUACAUUGUUACUUGUCAUUUAAAAGGCAACCUGUACCAGUACCUGGGAUAAAAUACCUAGUAUUUAGGAGAUUUAUAGUUUAGAAAUUUUUUAAAUCAUUGCUUCAAACUUCACCACCCCAUAAAAUCAAUUGAUAUUACUGAUUGAUUUCAAUACCAUAUGGAAGUUCUCAAUGAAUGUUAAUUAUUAUUGCCACCAUCACCAUCAGAAAAGGCAAAGAACCUGAAGUUGUUCACUUAAUU